rnacentral:rRNA from 1 species
AAAUAAAUGGAAUUUAACUCUUUCAUGCUUACUUUAACUAGUUAUUUUGGUUUUCUACUGGCUGCUUUAACUAUAACCCCAGCUCUAUUUAUUGGCUUGAACAAGAUACGCCUUAUUUGAAUUGACUGAAUAAUUAUAAUUCAGAAAAGAAAAAUCUUUCUUUGGGAUUCCUGGCAUUCUACGACUCUUUUCCAGACUAAUUAGGAAUUCUUUUCUUGGUCAUUGAGAUUCGUGGAUAAUUUAGAGUACUAUUUAGGGAUAGAUCGUACCUCUUUUUUUAUCCCCUCGAACAAAUCGAAAUGAUUGAAGUUUUUCUAUUUGGAAUCGUCUUAGGCCUAAUUCCUAUUACUUUAGCGGGAUUAUUCGUGACUGCGUAUUUGCAAUACAGGCGUGGGGAUCAGUUGGAUCUUUGAUUGAGUCAUUUUUUUUGAUUGACCUCCUCCAGACCAGAGAGGAGGUCAAAUUGAAAUUGGAGUUACAAUUCAAUUUUGUUAAGUUAUUUUACUCUGC